ACGCUAGCUACAGGCUAAACACAUGCAAGUCGAGGGGCAGCAUGGUCUUAGCUUGCUAAGGCCGAUGGCGACCGGCGCACGGGUGAGUAACACGUAUCCAACCUGCCGUCUACUCUUGGACAGCCUUCUGAAAGGAAGAUUAAUACAAGAUGGCAUCAUGAGUCCGCAUGUUCACAUGAUUAAAGGUAUUCCGGUAGACGAUGGGGAUGCGUUCCAUUAGAUAGUAGGCGGGGUAACGGCCCACCUAGUCUUCGAUGGAUAGGGGUUCUGAGAGGAAGGUCCCCCACAUUGGAACUGAGACACGGUCCAAACUCCUACGGGAGGCAGCAGUGAGGAAUAUUGGUCAAUGGGCGAGAGCCUGAACCAGCCAAGUAGCGUGAAGGAUGACUGCCCUAUGGGUUGUAAACUUCUUUUAUAAAGGAAUAAAGUCGGGUAUGGAUACCCGUUUGCAUGUACUUUAUGAAUAAGGAUCGGCUAACUCCGUGCCAGCAGCCGCGGUAAUACGGAGGAUCCGAGCGUUAUCCGGAUUUAUUGGGUUUAAAGGGAGCGUAGAUGGAUGUUUAAGUCAGUUGUGAAAGUUUGCGGCUCAACCGUAAAAUUGCAGUUGAUACUGGAUAUCUUGAGUGCAGUUGAGGCAGGCGGAAUUCGUGGUGUAGCGGUGAAAUGCUUAGAUAUCACGAAGAACUCCGAUUGCGAAGGCAGCCUGCUAAGCUGCAACUGACAUUGAGGCUCGAAAGUGUGGGUAUCAAACAGGAUUAGAUACCCUGGUAGUCCACACGGUAAACGAUGAAUACUCGCUGUUUGCGAUAUACUGCAAGCGGCCAAGCGAAAGCGUUAAGUAUUCCACCUGGGGAGUACGCCGGCAACGGUGAAACUCAAAGGAAUUGACGGGGGCCCGCACAAGCGGAGGAACAUGUGGUUUAAUUCGAUGAUACGCGAGGAACCUUACCCGGGCUUAAAUUGCAGAUGAAUUACGGUGAAAGCCGUAAGCCGCAAGGCAUCUGUGAAGGUGCUGCAUGGUUGUCGUCAGCUCGUGCCGUGAGGUGUCGGCUUAAGUGCCAUAACGAGCGCAACCCUUGUUGUCAGUUACUAACAGGUUCCGCUGAGGACUCUGACAAGACUGCCAUCGUAAGAUGUGAGGAAGGUGGGGAUGACGUCAAAUCAGCACGGCCCUUACGUCCGGGGCUACACACGUGUUACAAUGGGGGGUACAGAGGGCCGCUACCACGCGAGUGGAUGCCAAUCCCCAAAACCUCUCUCAGUUCGGACUGGAGUCUGCAACCCGACUCCACGAAGCUGGAUUCGCUAGUAAUCGCGCAUCAGCCACGGCGCGGUGAAUACGUUCCCGGGCCUUGUACACACCGCCCGUCAAGCCAUGGGAGCCGGGGGUACCUGAAGUGCGUAACCGCGAGGAGCGCCCUAGGGUAAAACUGGUGAC
rnacentral:rRNA from 1 species